rnacentral:rRNA from 1 species
UUGGAGGGCAAGUCUGGUGCCAGCAGCCGCGGUAAUUCCAGCUCCAAUAGCGUAUAUUAACGUUGCUGCAGUUAAAAAGCUCGUAGUUGAACCUCGGGGUCUACCCAUUGGUCAGGCUUAAUUGUCUGCACUGGUGAGAUGGAUCUCUACCUUCUGAGGAACUUUCAUGCCAUUUAUUUGGUGUGAUGGGAAAUCAGGACUGUUACUUUGAAAAAAUUAGAGUGUUUAAAGCAGACUAUCGUCUGAAUACAUUAGCAUGGAAUAAUGAAAUAGGACGGACUGAUUCUAUUUCGUUGGUUUCUAGGAUCACCGUAAUGAUUAAUAGGGAUAGUUGGGGGCAUUAGUAUUCAAUUGUCAGAGGUGAAAUUCUUGGAUUUAUUGAAGACUAACUACUGCGAAAGCAUUUGCCAAGGAUGUUUUCAUUAAUCAAGAACGAAAGUUAGGGGAUCGAAGACGAUCAGAUACCGUCGUAGUCUUAACCAUAAACUAUGCCGACUAGGGAUCGGACGAAGUUAAUUUUAUAAUGACGCGUUCGGCGCCUUACGGGAAAC